rnacentral:rRNA from 1 species
UAGUGAUUAGAGUUUGAUCAUGGCUCAGAUUGAACGCUGGCGGCAUGCCUUACACAUGCAAGUCGAACGGCAGCACGGGGGCAACCCUGGUGGCGAGUGGCGAACGGGUGAGUAAUACAUCGGAACGUGUUCUGUAGUGGGGGAUAGCCCGGCGAAAGCCGGAUUAAUACCGCAUACGAUCUACGGAAGAAAGCGGGGGACCGAAAGGCCUCGCGCUAUAGGGGCGGCCGAUGGCAGAUUAGCUAGUUGGUGGGGUAAAGGCCUACCAAGGCGACGAUCUGUAGCUGGUCUGAGAGGACGACCAGCCACACUGGGACUGAGACACGGCCCAGACUCCUACGGGAGGUAGCAGUGGGGAAUUUUGGACAAUGGGGGCAACCCUGAUCCAGCCAUGCCGCGUGCGGGAAGAAGGCCUUCGGGUUGUAAACCGCUUUUAGUCGGGAAGAAAGGGUUCUCUUGAAUAGGGGGGAUCUUUGACGGUACCGGCGGAAUAAGCACCGGCUAACUACGUGCCAGCAGCCGCGGUAAUACGUAGGGUGCGAGCGUUAAUCGGAAUUACUGGGCGUAAAGCGUGCGUAGGCGGUUCCUCAAGUCCGUUGUGAAAGCCCCGGGCUCAACCUGGGAAUGGCAGUGGAAACUAGGGGA